rnacentral:sRNA from 1 species
UGGUGUUCAGUGGACAGAUAAAUUUCGCCUUGGCCAACGUUGAUCAGCGCACGGCAUGGCUAAGUUCGAGAAAAACGAAAGCCUGGGGAUUGUGAUGUGCUGCUAUUUCAUAAGGGCGUUGAAUGCUGAGGGAGCUCUAUGGACAUCCGUACGAGUUUCGGUCUGGUGGUCUUGAGGUGGUUGGAGAGGCACCUGAAGGACGGGAAGGUAAGCGCUAAUAAGGAUAUUUUCCGAAUCGCCGAUACAUGAGAUUGUACAAUUUCAAUAGCGUUCGUGAAGAAGAGAAGGAAAAUAAUUAAUUAACCAUAUCUACGCGGAGCAAUGCGCAGUUUGUCUGUAAGUUCCAGUAUCCAAUGUCGAUAUAUGUCCACUUCAUAUACAUACCACGGGAUCUUAUCAGAUUUGAUUUGGAUUUUGCACUGCACGCUUAGUAUCUGAUGGUUUAUUUAUGGCUGGCAC